rnacentral:misc_RNA from 1 species
AUCAGAACAUUACCGCCGGCAUGGGCGAGAAAGUGAUGUGAAAUAUUAGUUAAGUCGCCCGCCGGCACGGCGACGACUGCUGCUCUUUGCCCACCACCGAAGCAAGCGACCGCCGUCCACGGGGCGCUGUCGGAGGGGCAAAUUUCCAGAUCGGACCGUGUUCGCGCGGUCGACGCUCCGGUACCUGGACCGUUCGGGCUCAAGCGGUAGUGUCGAUCUGGCUACCGUUGCUUCGCCGCCGGUUGCAGGCGACCACGACCUCGUGCUGCAGCAGCAGCAGCAGCACGAGUCGUCGUCUUCGAGGUUCAAAGAACGACUGCCGUGGCUUCCCAGCAGCAGCGGGAGCCGCGACGGCUCGUCGCCGGUUGGUGGUGGAUCAGGACGCUCUGGUCCGCCGCUGCAUUUGAACAACAACCACUGCGGAGUGGUGGUGCAGACGUUCGAAAGUUGAGGACGAACAGCAGGGGAUUGGGCUGAACAGGCAGGCGCCAGCCAGCCAGUCGCUUCCCCUGGAACUGUGCUCCCAAAGCAGUGAUAUUGAAAUUGACGA